rnacentral:rRNA from 1 species
GUGAGGAAUUUUCCGCAAUGGGCGAAAGCCUGACGGAGCAAUGCCGCGUGAAGGAUGAAGGCCUAUGGGUUGUAAACUUCUUUUCUCAGAAAAGAAUUAUGACGGUAUCUGAGGAAUAAGCAUCGGCUAACUCUGUGCCAGCAGCCGCGGUAAGACAGAGGAUGCAAGCGUUAUCCGGAAUGAUUGGGCGUAAAGCGUCUGUAGGUUGUUUAAAAAGUAUUCUGUCAAAGAUUAGGGCUUAACCCUAGAUAGGCAGAAUAAACUUUUAAUCUAGAGUUUGGUAGAGGCAGAGGGAAUUCCCGGUGCAGCCGUGAAAUGCGUAGAUAUCGGGAGGAACACCAAAGGCGAAGGCACUCUGCUGGGCCAAUACUAACACUGAGAGACGAAAGCGAGGGGAGCAAAUGGGAUUAGAUACCCGGGUAGUCC